UAACGGCAUGUACUGUCUGGCUGGGUCUUACCUCUUGGUGAGCCGGUGUGCCCUUUAUUGGUGUGCAUCGGGGAACCAGGACUUUUACCUUGAGAAAAUUAGAGUGUUCAAAGCAGGCUUAUGCCCGAAUACAUUAGCAUGGAAUAAUAAAAUAGGACGUGCGGUUCUAUUUUGUUGGUUUCUAGAGUCGCCGUAAUGAUUAAUAGGGAUAGUUGGGGGCAUUGGUAUUGAGUCGCUAGAGGUGAAAUUCUUGGAUUGACUCAAGACCAACUAUUGCGAAAGCAUUUGCCAAGGAUGUUUUCAUUAAUCAAGAACGAAGGUUAGGGGAUCGAAAACGAUCAGAUACC
rnacentral:rRNA from 1 species